rnacentral:rRNA from 1 species
AUACGACAAUUUUGAUGGGGAAGCAAGGAAGGCCAAAGGAAGUCGUCAUGGGUUUCUUGGAAGGACAUAACACAACCAAAGUUUCUGGGUGGAUUGGGAUUCAGGGAUUUCGAGCUCUUCAACCUAGCGCUGCUUGCUAAGCAAGCAUGGCACGUUCUACAAUAUCCUGACACUCUUUGUCCCAUGAUGCUGAAAGCUAUUUUUUUCCCUGCUAGUAAUAUUUUGUCAGCCAAACUUGGGAACCAUCCUUCAAAAAUAUGGCGAGCAAUAAUUGAAGGAAGAGAUGUAUUGCGCCAAGGCUUGAUCCAAAGAGUUGGGGACGGUUUAGGAGAACUGGAUCACUAG